rnacentral:rRNA from 1 species
AGAGUUUGAUCAUGGCUCAGGACGAACGCUGGCGGCGUGCUUAACACAUGCAAGUCGAACGGAAAGGCCCUUCGGGGUACUCGAGUGGCGAACGGGUGAGUAACACGUGGGUGAUCUGCCCUGCACUUUGGGAUAAGCCUGGGAAACUGGGUCUAAUACCGAAUAUGACCAUGCACUUCCUGGUGUGUGGUGGAAAGCUUUUGCGGUGUGGGAUGGGCCCGCGGCCUAUCAGCUUGUUGGUGGGGUAAUGGCCUACCAAGGCGACGACGGGUAGCCGGCCUGAGAGGGUGACCGGCCACACUGGGACUGAGAUACGGCCCAGACUCCUACGGGAGGCAGCAGUGGGGAAUAUUGCACAAUGGGCGCAAGCCUGAUGCAGCGACGCCGCGUGAGGGAUGACGGCCUUCGGAUUGUAAACCUCUUUCAGCACAGACGAAGCGCAAGUGACGGUAUGUGCAGAAGAAGGACCGGCCAACUACGUGCCAGCAGCCGCGGUAAUACGUAGGGUCCGAGCGUUGUCCGGAAUUACUGGGCGUAAAGAGCUCGUAGGUGGUUUGUCGCGUUGUUCGUGAAAACUCACAGCUUAACUGUGGGCGUGCGGGCGAUACGGGCAGACUAGAGUACUGCAGGGGAGACUGGAAUUCCUGGUGUAGCGGUGGAAUGCGCAGAUAUCAGGAGGAACACCGGUGGCGAAGGCGGGUCUCUGGGCAGUAACUGACGCUGAGGAGCGAAAGCGUGGGGAGCGAACAGGAUUAGAUACCCCGGUAGUCCAA